AACCUAAAGAACUUGGCGGUGUUUUAAAUAAUUGGAGGAACCUGUUAUUAAAAUGACAAUCCACAACAUAUCUUACUUAAAUUGAGUUUGUAUAUCAUUGUUUUUGAUAAUAUCUUGAGAUAAUUAUCAGUUUUGAUUAAUCCUAAAAAUCAAAUCACGGUGCAGCAUAUUUAAGGUAUAAUGGGUUACAAUAUACAUGUAAAUGUAAUAUGAAUAUAAUAUGAAAAAAUUAUUGAAAGUGGAUUCAAAAGUAGAACAUAAAUUAAUAUGUUUGUUCGACUAAAAAUUUAAAGCAUGCACACAU
rnacentral:rRNA from 1 species